rnacentral:sRNA from 1 species
GAUGAGAAGCUUCGACUAAGGUUCGAUUCGAGCGCAGCGAGAAAGCGUUGCCGUAGGCAACGACCCGAAGGGCGAAGCGCGCAGCGCUGAGUAAUCCUUCCCCCGUCAUCC